CAGUGGGUCCAGAAGCCCUUUGGAUACUGAUCAGAGGCUCCUUUUGGGCAGAGAUCACAGCAGCAGCCACCAGUUCCGCAGGCUGGGAAGUCCAAAAUCAAGAGGCCUCUGGAGAGGGUAUUCCUACUACAUUCUCACAUGGAGGCCGCGUGGUCUCUACUGCUCCGCCCUGGUCAGGAGGAGAAAGAAGAGGGCCAGGCGCCAUGUGCCCGCACUCUCCCUGGAUGCUGGAGGCCGGUCCGCCCUAGGCAGGAGGAGAAGGAAGAGAACUGGGUGCUGCCCACCUGCACUCUCCCUGGAUGCUGGAGGCUGGAGGCAGUGAGGCAGCAACAGCACAAGGCGACUUUGGAGCGGCCUAAUAUAGCUACCUAGCCUUCCGCUGUGCCUCCUCCCAGAGCCCAAGAAGCCUGGAACUUGUGGCAUCCAGCGCUUAAAGGAGGAGAGGGCAACCCAGCCAAGGGUGAGUCCGGGAGUCUGGGGUGCCAGCGGCAGAGGGAGGCCAGGCAGGAGUCUCGGCCUCCCA
rnacentral:lncRNA from 1 species